AUGGCAGGUGAAGAAAACGAGUAUGAUGUUGAAGGAAAUGGGCAUCUCAAUCAGCUCGUCACACGGUUUCACUUCAACACAUUACGUGAUCAUUUACGUCGAGAGUUCAGAAACAUCCUUGACCCAAUUGAAGAGAAGCAAGAAAAAUUGUCGAGAGAUUUGCAACAACUUAUGGGUAAUGUUGAUGAGAAACUCACUCAGAACAUGCCAGCCAUGAGGACUGGUAUUGUUGCUGAUAUUGUGCGAGAGCUUCGUCAGAACCGAGAAGAUGCAAGUGUCGAUGGUGAAGAACGAAAUGUAACUGAUGGGGAAGGUGCUGCCUCCAAUGCACAAGAUAGAAGAAACAGUGCUCCUGCUCCCCAUGCCAUGAGACCUCCCGGUCCCGGACAUGGAAAUGAUCAUGGUAAUGGACGUGGUCAUCAUGAAGCUGCUGCUAGUCGUGGUCUUAGAGGAGGACACCGAAGAGCAAAUCUGCACCAUGAAGGUAGGGGAGAUGAGUUUGAUGAAGAUGAAGAUGGCAUGCACUAGAAUGACGGAUUUCAUCAUCGUAGAAACUAUGGUCAUGGACGGCAGGAGGAGGAGAGGUUU
rnacentral:rRNA from 1 species